rnacentral:snoRNA from 1 species
CUCCAGUGAUGAUCCAGCCAUGCUAAUACUGAUGCACCAGGCAGAUGCAGUUUGUCUGACUGGGUGCAAAUGAGUUUAACUCACCUUCUCAUGCUGAUGUGA